CUGUCGACUCGCGUUACCGAUGUUUGUUUGUUUUAAUCGAUUUUAAAGUGUUGUGUAACCGGUGAAACCGGCGUAAAUAGUAAAAGCUCUGCCCAGCAACGUCACUAUAAAAAAUGGCGACGCCGAACGCUCUCUACUACACGAAGAAAAUUUAAAAAAAAACGCAAAAUAAUCCCGAUUUAUUUAAAUUUGGGAUAACAGUAAAGAAACAAAAGCUUUCUACAGAAGGAUCAAAUGACAACCUCCCAGGGAGAUCAUCAUACACUGGCGAGGGUCAGGCUCACAGAACAUGAAAAUUAUCAUGAAGAAGGAAUUUUCCUCUUCAGAUUUUGAGAGAAUUAUUGACAUUUUCAAGAGUAAAAAGAACAGAGUUCUAAAGCUGUAAAGUCCAGAACAUGUCUGAGUUAUGUGCCCUUGAAAUGUUCUAUGUUUAUAAAUGUUAUUCCUGUGGUAAAGAAUUGUUGGGACCAGGUAUUUUAGUUGCAUUUGGUACAUGAAUAAUUUUUUGCAAAUCAGAUAUAUGUAUAUGUGUUGUUAUUGUAUCAAAUACAGUAUUCAUAGAAGGAAAA